rnacentral:rRNA from 1 species
UUCCUACGGGACGCAGCAGUGGGGAAUAUUGCACAAUGGGGGGAACCCUGAUGCAGCGACGCCGCGUGGGUGAAGGAGUACUUCGGUACGUAAAGCCCUAUCAGCAGGAAAGAAAAUGACGGUACCUGACUAAGAAGCCCCGGCUAACUACGUGCCAGCAGCCGCGGUAAUACGUAGGGGGCAAGCGUUAUCCGGAUUUACUGGGUGUAAAGGGAGCGUAGACGGCAGUGCAAGUCCGGAGUGAAAGGCGGGGGCCCAACCCCCGGACUGCUCUGGAAACUGUAUGACUUGAGUGCAGGAGAGGU